rnacentral:tRNA from 1 species
GCCUGGGUGGCUCAGUCGGUUGAGUGUCUGACUUCGGCUCAGGUCCUGAUCUCAUGGUUUGUGGGUUCGAGCCCUGCAUCGGGCU